GCCCCGAGGGCGGCGGGAGGGAACGGGGCCGAGCAGUUUCCAAACCCUGGGGGCGGCCCGCAGGGGAGCUGGCGCCGGUGCGCCCGUGAGCUCGGUUCGCCCAACCGCGGGGCCGAAAGCCCACUGCCGGGAGGAGGAGACUGAGGUCCGAGGCCCGACGUGGAGGCGAGCGGAGAGCGCCUCCUGCUUGACCCCCAUGCCUGCGGGCUGCCGUCCUUGGGCUCCCUCAACGCGCGCCUUAAGGGCUGGGGUGGGGCAGCGGAGUCCUCGCCUGCGCCUGCUCUGGGUCCUCUGCGGAUGGCUCCCACCCGCCUGGGUCGGCUUUGGGCGGCUGCUGAUCGAACGCACACAAGUCAGGACUUGCUGCCUUCCACCUGCUCCCGGGUUUCUGGGGCCCAGGCCCUUCUGAGAAGGGCUGAAAACGUCUAGGGCCACCUCAUCCAAUCUGAGAGCACCUGGCCGCCCUGGAGAGGUGGCCCCGAUUCCAUAAAGUUCAGACCUACCCUGAUUCUGCCCUGUGGGCCCCCACCGAGCGGCAGACUUCCAGCCUUGACCUCUCCUGCCUUUUACCAAUCAGAUCCUCAUCUGAUCUGCCCCUCACAGAGAUCCAUAUUUUGCUUUAAAAUGUUUGGGUUUUCACUUUUUAAAAAAUGGUUUGUGCUGUGUACCUGGUUUCUGGACACAAUUUCCAUCUUCCUAGAAAAAAACAUACUUAAGGAAGAUUUGUUGUUUUCUUAGAGACUUCCUAAUUCUUUCGUGGGACAGCAGCUUUAGCUCUGACGCUUGGAGACCUGCCCUGGCAGUCUGCAGAAAUACUUUUCUUAGUCACAAGCAGCUAACACGGAUGUAGCCCUCUCAGGCAGUUAGGUGGUGUGCUGAGGGCUCACACACCCUGCCUUUAAUUUUCCCAGUAACCCUGUGAAGUGGGUAUUACUGUUAUCCCUAUGGUACAGUUGGAGAAAUGGAGGCCAAAAGAGGUGUGCAUUCGCCACACUUUCUCGGUGCCCAUGGGAAGUGCCCGGCCACUUGUUACCAUCUCUCAGAGCACACAGACAGGUGUCACCAGGUAUGGCAGAGAAAGCGUGAAGUGCACAAAGGUCCUGCUGCCGUGGGGCUGCUGUGAAUGAAGCCCAAUGAAGAGACGAGCGGCCCCGAGUCAGAAGUGACAGCAGGUUCGGGGGACAAGUGCAGGGCCCGUGGCACCUCCAGGGAGGGAGAGCUCUCGGGGUUAUCCACAUAGGACAGGCACUCUUCCGGGGAGGCCUGGCUGGGGACAGUUGUUACAACCAAAGAACACAGAGGUUGUGGCAAGAAGGCCGAUGUCUCAGGGAACUGGGGUCCGGAACUGUGCCGUACGCUGCUGCAGGUUGGACCUGGACCAUGGCGAACACAGCUGCUCUUGCCCUUUCGCGUUUUCUCUCUUCCUUCUGUUCUUCCUUUCCUCAGGGGGCAAGGGGCCAGCAUGAACCCGCCCGGUGCCACUUCCUAGUCUACAGCAUCUGGAGACUGUUACCAGGGGCCCCAGUUUCCUCUCAAAUUCUCACGAAGAAUCUGGCUGUGCAGCUCAAAUCUUGGAGAGAAUUCUCAAGUCUCUGGUCACCCGUGGCCAUACGCCAGCUCUGGGCCUAGCAGAGCAAGGUCACAAGGUCUGGUCCCCACCCAGAGGGGCCUGGGCCCUCCCAUGAGGGGAUGAGGGCAGCCUAGUGCUAAGAGCCGAAGGUUAGCGUCUCCACUCUACAAAUGAGGACACAAAAAAGUUAGGGGACUCGCCCAGAGUCUCAAAGUUAAGCUAUCUCUCUUUCAGAGUGAGGACUCAAAAAAUAAAAAUUUGAGUUUCCUGAUUCCAAAUCCUGUGGUAUAUCAGCCCCCCUUGGUUCCGGCUUUCCCACGGCUGUCACUUGACAGGCCUGUCCCUCAGUAAGUCCUCCAGUAGUCAUUGCCUUAACCCCUUCUUGAAACCACAGCCCAUGCCUGCAGCCAGGGGCAGCUCCUUGGUAUCUCUCCUGCCUGUCUCAUCCCUCUUUCCCCCACCAGCUCCAGCCUCUUUAAUUACUUCUUCCCCCAAUCCUUUCUAGACAAACAAAAACCAAUCAGAAAUGUACACAGAGUGAAUUUAAAACUGAAAGCCAUCACUCUUUUCAAGAAUAAAACUGAAACAACACUAUUUAAAACCAGUAGGCCUUGCAUGGUGGUGCAUACCUUUAUAAUCCUAGCUACUUGGAAGGCUGAGGCAAGACUGGAAGUUCCAGGCCAGCUUGGGCAUCUUAGCAAGAGCCCAUCUCAAAAUCAAAUUAAAGGGGUGGAGGUGUGUGACUCAGCAGUAGAGUGCCCAGCAGGUACAAGGCCAUAGAUUCAAUCCCGAGUACUGUGAGAAAAAAUCAGCAGGAAUUUUAGGUCCGUUAGUUUAACACUGCUUCCCACCUCUUCCCCAGCACAGCACAGUGUCACCCCUGACUUUGGUGGCUUUACAACUUCUACCAAAGGGUCACUCACAUUCAAAUUCAAAUUCAGAAUCAGGUGAUCUGGUUUUCAAUUUGUUCUCAACACUCUACUAUGGAGCCCACCCCAGACAGACCCCCAUCAGAAAUGAGCUCUUCUGAUGCAGACAGGCCUCAAGCCAAACUGGAGUCUAGGUUUGGGGGUUCCCACCAAACUCAGCUGGGGGCUAAUGGUACCCCAGGCUCUCUGGGUGUGUUAAUGAAUUUGUCCUAAGCAAGAGAGCUGAAGGCCAGAAAGACCUGUUGUUUGGUACAGUACUCCUUUAUCUGCAGGGGAUUGGGUCUCAAGACACCCCGUGAGUCCCUGAAACCAUGGACAGUACCAAACCCUAUAUAAGCACUGUGAUCCACAGCAUUACAUCAGGUGAUCAAGCCAGCUACCAAGUGAUCUCUGGGUAACAGGAAGGUAGCAUAUACAUCGUGGAUACACUGGACAAAGGGCACACAUCCUGGGUGGGACACAGUGGGAUAGCACAAGGUUUCAUCACACUACUCUGGGUGGCAUGAAAUUAAACCUUAUGAGUUACUUAUUUCUGGAGUUUUCCAUCUUAUAUUUUUUAAGCUAUGGUUGACUGGGGGAUACUGCAAAAAGUGAAACUUCAGAUAAGGGGGUACUGCAGUAAUUCCUAAACCAGUUCCCACCAGCAGAGAUGUUUCUUCAAACACAAGGGGGCUUCUGCAGCUGAGCAGAUGAGGACUGGGUGCUGUCUACCCCUACUCAUUCUUUUACCUCCAGCUCCAAGCCACCCCUCUGAGGGAUGUCCUCUCCCCAGUCAUCCUCACCCCCACUUGGCACAGUCCUGACCUCUGGCUCUUCUGGCAGGCUGCCCUCCUCCCAGGAUAGCCCUCCCAAUUGUAUUGCCUUAAUCCCUGUCACUGUGUUGCUAUGGCACCCGGCACACAGUAGGUGGCCAAUCAUAGUGUUGAAUGAAUAAGUAAUUGACUAUUCCAUGUUUAUUCUCUUGGGGUUUCUGUGAAAAGAAAAAAUAAAAAUUAUAAAUGUUUUAUAGCUGAA